AUGGCAUCGAUGAAGUUCGAUCUUCCGAUGCCGGACUACGACAUGAGCUUUUCCUUGAGGCAGGUAAAGACGCGGGCUAUCCUGGCGCAUCCCUAUCUGGAUGAGGCGCUAGAUGGUUUCGGUGGAAAAGAACCGAAGGCGUGGACUGAGGAUGAGAAGCGCAAAGAUUGUAAGGCUAUGUUUCUGAUUCAUCUUCAUCUAUCUAACAAUAUUUUGCACGAAGAGCUAGAGGAGAAAUUUGCAGCAGCUCUCUGGCUGAAACUGGAGUCGAUCUGCAUGUCCAUGGAUCUGACCAGUAAGAUGCACAUGAAGAUGAAGUUGUUCAUGCACAAGUUGCAAUAA
rnacentral:rRNA from 1 species